GAAAUUGCUUCCUGUUUUCUGUAUAACUGUUUUGAUAGUUUAAGAUGUUUGUCUAUAAUGGAUAUUUCUCACCUCAAAGAUCGUGUAAAUAAUUAUAUCCAUUUCCUCAAUGGGUCGUUUAUUUCUAAUGAGGCUGCCAGUUCUCAGAGAGAGAGUCUACGGAGUCGCUUUUUAAAAAUACAAACAGGGAUUACAUCUAUGUAAAAAGAAGUGUGCAUAUGCAUAAAGACUGGGAACACAGAUAAUUGAAAUCAGUUGUGUUAGGGUGGUGGGGUUCCGUGAAUUUUUUUCUUUCAGAAAUUUUCUUUCUUUGAUAUUGAUAUAUUAAUAAUUGAAAUAAAUAACAGAAGGGGAACUAUAGAAACAUAGAAGAGAUACCAGAAGCAGACACCUUCUGGCCAGAGCCCAGAGCAUGCAGGGCACAGAUAUUUCCUAGUUACAAUUAUUCUGUAGGCUUUAUACUUGCCUGGGUACUGAGGUUGGCACACGCUCAGGUAUGGCACAUGCUUUCUUAUGAGACUAUUAUCUAAGUCACGCUAAGGAGACAUCACUGCUAGAACUCCAAAUGCAUUCUUCUGCUAUAAAACAGGUUGCCUUCAGCUUAAGUAUGGCAUCCAGGAGUCUAUUUUGUUUGCCUUAGAUUGGAGGGCUGACAACUUAAUUAGCCCUGUUGAUAAUACUUGUUUUAGAUGCUACCUUUCUAGCUUGUUUUAAGAGAUUUUCAAGGUCAAUUUUGGAAGGAUAGAAGGGUAAAAGAGCUAGCUCCUACCAGUUCCUGGCAUAACCAGACCAAUCAUUCUGACAGGAGUCUUCUUUAAAUAACCAUAGACAAAUCCCAUUGGUUGCGAUGGAAAUUACCAUGUACUAUUAAGCGUAACUGCAAAAUUAUUAAGAGAAAUAUUUAGGAUUGUCUGUUAACAUUCAGUUCCAGUCCUAUUAGUUUUGGCUUGGGAUGGUCUUUGGGCUCUUGUGCUGCGUGACUGUAGCAUGUAGGCAGUGAUCGUGGUUUUUUAAAAGAAAGGGAGACCAGCCAUCAAAGAAGAAUUUUCUUCUAACUCACCAAAGAAAUUUUAGGUGAGGACGUCAUUAAUGUAUGUUCCACAGUGUCACCAAAAGCAGAGUGUAUCCCCAGAAAACUCACAGGCAUUCGCUUAGCUCUUCAUAAUACAUAUGGAAGUCUUCACCCUGCCAUCCUGGUUGAAUCUUUUCCUGGUUGAAUCUGAGCCUUUUGAAGUUAAUAUUCAAACAAAUGAAUGGCGUGUUAUAUAAACGUCUCCCAGUCUUCGAAGAAGGAGCCUGAAAUUCAGCAUUUGUAAACUGACAGUCUAAUGGGCCUGGGAUUUGGAGUAACCUUAACACACAAUACUGGACAUAUACUUGCAUGUGGAUUGGAAAGGAAAUAAAUAGGGCCUUGGGAAUAAGGGAAGUGUUUCUCCUAUGAAAGAAUUUUUCAUCAAAGACUUAUUUCUGCUAUAAUUUUGGGUUGUUUGGAUUUUGGUUUUAUCUCUUCUUUUCUGCUUCACACUCCUUCAGUGAUCAACUACAUCUAACCAACUUCUCAUGCUUGGGAAUGUCUGUUUAUCAUCCAACAGUAUCUCGCCGAAUCUGCAAAUAUGGGACUUGAGAUAUCACCAUGUGCACACCUCUGACUAUACAAACACUACCGACUUGUAGCAUUGACUGCCACGUAAACCUAUUGAACUUGCAAGGUGAACUUAAAAAAAAAAUCUAAUUAGUGACACCAGACUCUCCCCAGAAGCUGCCAUCAGAUGAAUGCUGUCCUGUUAUUACCGACAGU
rnacentral:lncRNA from 1 species